rnacentral:rRNA from 1 species
GAUGAACGCUAGCUACAGGCUUAACACAUGCAAGUCGAGGGGCAGCAUUUCGCUAGCAAUAGUGAAGAUGGCGACCGGCGCACGGGUGAGUAACACGUAUCCAACCUGCCGAUAACUCGGGGAUAGCCUUUCGAAAGAAAGAUUAAUAUCCGAUAGUAUAUUAAAACCGCAUGGUUUUACUAUUAAAGAAUUUCGGUUAUCGAUGGGGAUGCGUUCCAUUAGUUUGUUGGCGGGGUAACGGCCCACCAAGACUACGAUGGAUAGGGGUUCUGAGAGGAAGGUCCCCCACAUUGGAACUGAGACACGGUCCAAACUCCUACGGGAGGCAGCAGUGAGGAAUAUUGGUCAAUGGACGAGAGUCUGAACCAGCCAAGUAGCGUGAAGGAUGACUGCCCUAUGGGUUGUAAACUUCUUUUAUAUGGGAAUAAAGUAUUCCACGUGUGGGAUUUUGUAUGUACCAUAUGAAUAAGGAUCGGCUAACUCCGUGCCAGCAGCCGCGGUAAUACGGAGGAUCCGAGCGUUAUCCGGAUUUAUUGGGUUUAAAGGGAGCGUAGGUGGAUUGUUAAGUCAGUUGUGAAAGUUUGCGGCUCAACCGUAAAAUUGCAGUUGAAACUGGGAGUCUUGAGUACAGUAGAGGUGGGCGGAAUUCGUGGUGUAGCGGUGAAAUGCUUAGAUAUCACGAAGAACUCCGAUUGCGAAAGGCAGCUCACUAGACUGUCACUGACACUGAUGCUCGAAAGUGUGGGUAUCAAACAGGAUUAGAUACCCUGGUAGUCCACACAGUAAACGAUGAAUACUCGCUGUUUGCGAUAUACAGUAAGCGGCCAAGCGAAAGCAUUAAGUAUUCCACCUGGGGAGUACGCCGGCAACGGUGAAACUCAAAGGAAUUGACGGGGGCCCGCACAAGCGGAGGAACAUGUGGUUUAAUUCGAUGAUACGCGAGGAACCUUACCCGGGCUUAAAUUGCAAAUGAAUAAUCUGGAAACAGGUUAGCCGCAAGGCAUUUGUGAAGGUGCUGCAUGGUUGUCGUCAGCUCGUGCCGUGAGGUGUCGGCUUAAGUGCCAUAACGAGCGCAACCCUUAUCUUUAGUUACUAACAGGUUAUGCUGAGGACUCUAGAGAGACUGCCGUCGUAAGAUGUGAGGAAGGUGGGGAUGACGUCAAAUCAGCACGGCCCUUACGUCCGGGGCUACACACGUGUUACAAUGGGGGGUACAGAAGGCAGCUACCUGGUGACAGGAUGCUAAUCCCAAAAACCUCUCUCAGUUCGGAUCGAAGUCUGCAACCCGACUUCGUGAAGCUGGAUUCGCUAGUAAUCGCGCAUCAGCCAUGGCGCGGUGAAUACGUUCCCGGGCCUUGUACACACCGCCCGUCAAGCCAUGAAAGCCGGGGGUACCUGAAGUACGUAACCGCAAGGAGCGUCCUAGGGUAAAACUGGUAA